rnacentral:rRNA from 1 species
GGCUUUGAAACCAGGACGCCAGUUUUGGCGGAGCCAUCCUUGGGAUACCACCCUUGUAGUACUGGGACUCUAACCAUAGGCCAUGAAUCUGGUCUUGGGACACUGUCAGGUGGGCAGUUUGACUGGGGCGGUCGCCUCCCAAAAGGUAACGGAGGCGCUCAACGGUUCUCUCAGUACGGUCGGAAAUCGUACGUAGAGUGUAAAGGCAAAAGAGAGCUUGAUUGCAAGACAUACAGGUCGAGCAAGGAUGAAAAUCGGACUUAGUGAUCCGGUGGUUCUGCGUGGAAGGGCCAUCGCUCAACGGAUAAAGCUACCCUGGGGAUAACAGGCUUAUCUCCCCCAAGAGUCCACAUCGACGGGGAGGUUUGGCACCUCGAUGUCGGCUCAUCACAUCCUGGGGCUGUAGUAGGUCCCAAGGGUUGGGCUGUUCGCCCAUUAAAGUGGUACGCGAGCUGGGUUCAGAACGUCGUGAGACAGUUCGGUCCCUAUCCGUCGCAGGCGUAGGAAAUUUGAGAAGACCUGUCCUUAGUACGAGAGGACCGGGAUGGACGUACCUCUGGUGUACCAGUUGUUCUGCCAAGGGCAUGGCUGGGUAGCUAUGUACGGAAUGGAUAAGCGCUGAAAGCAUCUAAGCGCGAAGCCAACUUCAAGAUAAGAUUUCCCACCGCAAGGGUAAGACCCCAGAAAGACUAUCUGGUUGAUAGGUCGAAGGUGUAAGUGCAGCAAUGUAUUUAGCUUAUCGAUACUAAUAGGUCGAGGACUUGACCAAAUU